rnacentral:rRNA from 1 species
AACGAACGCUGGCGGCAGGCCUAACACAUGCAAGUCGAACGCUCGUAGCAAUACGGGAGUGGCAGACGGGUGAGUAACACGUGGGAACCUUCCCUAUAGUUCGGAAUAGCUCAGGGAAACUUGGGGUAAUACCGGAUAAGCCCUUCGGGGGAAAGAUUUAUCGCCAUUGGAUGGGCCCGCGUCGGAUUAGCUAGUUGGUGGGGUAACGGCCUACCAAGGCGACGAUCCGUAGCUGGUCUGAGAGGAUGAUCAGCCACACUGGGACUGAGACACGGCCCAGACUCCUACGGGAGGCAGCAGUGGGGAAUAUUGGACAAUGGGCGCAAGCCUGAUCCAGCCAUGCCGCGUGAGUGACGAAGGUCUUCGGAUUGUAAAGCUCUUUUGGCGGGGACGAUAAUGACGGUACCCGCAGAAUAAGCCCCGGCUAACUUCGUGCCAGCCGCCGCGGUAA